CCAGCAGCUGCGGUAAUUCCAGCUCCAAUAGCGUAUAUUAAAGUUGUUGCAGUUAAAAAGCUCGUAGUUGGAUUUCUGGUGGGAGCGGCAGGUCGGGCUCGCAAGGGCCAUGUACUAUAGUCUGUCUCCUGCCAUCCUUGGGGAGAGCGAUUCUGGCAUUAAGUUGUCGGGGUCGGGAUCCUCAUCUUUUACUGUGAAAAAAUUAGAGUGUUCAAAGCAGGCCUCGGCCUCUGAAUACAUUAGCAUGGAAUAAUAAGAUAGGACUUUGGUGGUCUAUUUUGUUGGUUUGCACGCCAAAGUAAUGAUUAAUAGGGAUAGUUGGGGGUAUUCGUAUUCAAUUGUCAGAGGUGAAAUUCUUGGAUUUAUGGAAGACGAACUACUGCGAAAGCAUUUACCAAGGAUGUUUUCAUUAAUCAAGAACGAAAGU
rnacentral:rRNA from 1 species